UAAUCUGCGCAUAUGCCGAGGGUGGUUC
rnacentral:piRNA from 1 species